rnacentral:lncRNA from 10 species
AAAAAGAAAAAAAAAAGGAAAAAUUCAAAAGCAUGAAAAAGUGGGGAUAUUAUCCUAGAGAAAAGGAAUAAAUUAAAAAAAAAUCCCAAAUGCAAUGAAUUAACCAAGAGUGGAUACUGAUUAGAAAAUAAGUCGUUAUAAAAAAUCUUUGGGCACAUAUUUGAAGACACUAUAUAAAUUAUUACAUUUUUCCAGUAUGAUUAUAGUAUCACAGUUAUCCAGGAAAUUUGCAUAUAUUUAAAGGCAAAGGGCCAUGGUAUCUACAACUUACUCUCAAAUGAUACAGAAAUAACCCAUACAUAAGCGGAUAAAAAGAGCUGAAAUAAGAUAAAGCAAAUAACAUGAAUGUAAACAUAUAUGGUGGGUUACUAAACAAUUCUUUCAUUUUUUCUGUAUGUUAAAUUAAAAUGUACAUUUCAAAUUUAGGGAAAACCUCCAAGACAACAAUUUACUUCUUGAUAGCCCAUUAUUAAUUCCUACUUAAUCUUAAAUUGUGAACAGAAAAUAUGAACUGUUGGCUAUUAUCAAAAUCUUGGCCAGGUUUUGACAAGUAUAAUUUCGGCCACAUCCGCAUAAUAGGACUCUUAUGUACCUUUUUUCUUUUUAGAUGGGGCCUAAAAAAGCCAGGCUGGUGUGCAGUGGCUAUUCACAGGCACCAUCAUAGAGCACUGCAGGCUUACACUCUUGCCUCAAGCGAUCCUCCCGCCUCAGUCUCCCGAGUAGCUGGGACUACAGGUGUGCGCCACCAUGCCUGGGUUUCAUGUAGGCUCUUGAUUAUACUUUGCAAAUAAUUCCCAUAGAUGAUAAAUAUCUUGGCCAAUGACACACAGGGAGUUAUGUGGCAGUGAUGACAGGUAAGGCAUGUGCCAUGGCUAAAAGCACUAUUGCAUAUGUGACAUUAACAAGUUAGUUUAUUAGUACUAAUUUUUGAGACUUCAACAAUGAUUGAGUGGUGUCAGGUGUGGCGAUUUAAAAAUAAAAAUAUGUCUGCAAAUGUUUUGACAUUUCUCUCUUUAAAAAGUGAAAGUGGGCUGGGCACAGUGGUUCACGCCUAUAAUCUCAGCACUUUGGGAACACUGUGGGAAGACUGCUUGAGCUUAGGAGUUUGAGACAAGCCUGGGCAAGUUGGUGAGACCCCCAUCUCUACAAAAAAUUUAAAAAUUAGCUGGGCAUGGUGACGCACACCUGUAGUCCCAGCUACUCGGGAAGCUGAAGCAGGAGGAUCACUGAAGCCCAGGAGGUUGAGGCUGAAGUUAGCCAUAUGCACUCCACUGGACGACAGUGAAAGAUCCUGCCUUCAAAAAAAAAAGGUGAAACUUAAUUCCUCUCUUACUGAAUGUAGGCCAGACUUAGUGAUUUUCUGGGAACAAACAGAACGUGGCAGAACUAACUUCCAAAGAGAGAUUAUAAAAAGGAUCACAUCUGUCACGUCACAAGCACACUCAAGCAGCUUAUGGACAAGGCCCCUUGGGAGAAGAAACGACUUGCCAGUAUAAACUUAUCAGCCACAGAACUAAGCCAUUUGAAAGCAUAUCCUACAGCUAUAGUCAAGCCUUUAGAUAAGCACAACCUCUUGAGACACUUGGAGCUAGAACUGCCUAGCUUAGCUGCUCCCAAAUUUCUGACUCACAGAAACUGUGAGAAAAAUACACAUUUAUUGGCAUUUUAAGCCACUAAUUCUUCAGGUUCUUUGGAAUGUGGCAUGAGAUAACAGAUUUUGGUACCUAGACAAGGGAUGCUAUUGAAACAAAAAGCUACAAAUGUCAGAGGGGCAUUGGGACCACAAACUGGGUGGAAAUUGGAAGUGCCUGGAAAAUAUUAUUAGCAGAAACCUGGAUAUUUUUGAGGAGCUCCUAGUGAGGGCUUAAAGAAAACUGAAAAAUGUUACUGGAGACUAGGGGGAAGGGAUUCUUGUUAUGCAACAGCAGAAAGCAACAUGGCUGCACGUGGUUACUGUGAAAAGUACAAAAUAAUACCUACAGAACUGUGUAACUGGCCCAGGCUCGUGCUAUAAUCCCAGCACUUUGGGAGGUCAAGGUAGGAGGAUCAAGAGUUUGAGACCAGCUCAGGCAACAUAGGGAGACUUCAUCUCUACCAAAAAAAAAAAAAAAAAAAGAAUUAGCUAGAUGUAGUUGUGCAUACACCUGUAGUCCUAGCUACUCCUGAGGCUGAGAUGGGCGGAUCACUUGAGCCCGGGAGUUCAAGGUUGUAGUGAGCUAUGAUCACACCACUGCACUCCAACUUGGGUGGCAAAGCAAGAUUGUGUCUUUAAGAAACAAAAACAAACAAACAACAGCAACAAAAAAAGUGGGUAAUUUAGCUUAGGAAACUCCCAAGCAGAAUGUUGAAGGUGUCUUGCUUCUUGUUGCUUAAGUGCUAGAAGUGAGAUAAGCUAGAAAAAGACUGUUAAACAGAAGUGAACCAGGACUUGCUUUUGGAAACUCCCAGCCUCUCCAGAAAGCAAAUGAUGCUAAACUUCAGAAAUAGUCUCUGGACAAAGAUAAAAUCCAGAGUGCUGUUAGGGAAACAUAGUAUGUAGGUAACCUUAGGGUAUGUGUUCAUUUUGAUCCUCUGAAAAGCAAAAAGCAAGAUCAGAUCAGAAGGAAGGAGGGGGCUAUGAAUGAAAAAGAGGUCCAGGAAAGGCAGUGAAAGCCUUCAGGCCAUGGUACAAGAUGGAUGACUCUGAAGGAGAGGGAUGAAGCAAGAUUGGUAGAAAAACUAUGAAAACGCGGGGCAGUAUGAAAACAGUUUCAGCCUGGCUGAUUCACAGUUCCCCAGCUGAAGGGUCUGGGUUUCGUAAGAAUUGACUAGCAUGAAUACUUAUGUUAUGCUCAGAAAAGGAGCUGGGGGCAGCCCAUAGGAAGCAUGGCCUCAACAUUAACACAAUGAUUAUUUCAGAGAGGGAGCAGAGUGGGCACUUCACAGGCAGGUUAUCUGUUCUCCAAAGAACAGAUAGAGUAUGACUGUUAAAAACCCUUGGUUAAGACUCCAGCAAUAUCUAAUGUGACAAUUAUGAGAAUCACCAUUCAAUGAAACUUCUAUAAAUGGCUCUGUCAGCAGCCUCUGCAGAAGCCCUAGGUAGAGGAGGCCGGAUUUGCACGAGAGUGAAUGAACAAGUGAGCAUGAGCACCAGGGAAAGGUGAUCCUGAAGAUUCUGUUCAUCUAGGUUCAGCUCACAUGCAAAGGGAAGGGAAUUGGACUUCAGGUUUUUUUAUUUGCUGUUUGUGUUUUUGAGACGGAGUCUCAUGCUGUUGCCCAGGCUGGAGUGCAGAGGCACGAUCUCAGCUCACUGCAGCCUCCGCCUCCCAAGUUCAAGCGAUUCUCCUGCCUCAGCCUCCCUAGUAGCUGGGACUACAGGCGUGUGCCAUCACGCCUGGCUAGGCCUCGGUCUCCCAAAGUGCUGGGAUUACAGGCGUGAGUCACCGUGCCUGGCCAGACUUCAAGUUUGAAGGGUAGAGUUUCAAGAAUUUGAGGACAUAUUUUUAAAACACCACGACUGGCAUUCUGAGUACAAAUUGCUUAUAUUUCUACGUCAUGCAAAAUAUGCUCAAGAAGCCACCCAAAUUGCUUGAGCCCAGAAGUUGAAAGCUGCAGUGAGCUAUGAGCAUGCCUCUGCACUCCAGCCUGGGUGAUAGAGCAAGACCCUGUCUCAAAAAACAAAGACAAAAACAAAAACAGACAAACAAACAAACAAAAAACGGCUCCAAAGUCACAGCUUUCUCCUGGCACUCUCACUGUCUAAGCCAGCCUGCCAGUGUGAGCAAGCCACCUGGAAAACAGAUCCUUCCGCCCCAAGGAGCCUUCAGAAGACUGCAAGCUCAUGGAAAGACCAAUUCAAAAGCACUCAGUUAAGCCUCUUCCGAAUUUCUGACCCUCAGAACCUAUGAGUGAUGUUUAUUGUUGUGGUAAGACAUUAAGGCUUGGGGUAAUUUGUAAUACAGCCAUUGAAAUCUAGUAUGAAAGGCUUUUGGUCAUCCUUUUAAUUAAUAAGUUUUUUUUUUUUUUCUUUUGAGACGGAGUCUCACUCUGUUGCCCAGGCUGGA